UACGUAGGGGGCUAGCGUUGUCCGGAAUCAUUGGGCGUAAAGAGCGUGUAGGCGGUCCGGUAAGUCCGUUGUGAAAGUCAGGGGCUCAACCCUUGAAUGCCGGCGGAUACUGUCGGGCUAGAGUCCGGAAGAGGCGAGUGGAAUUCCCGGUGUAGCGGUGAAAUGCGCAGAUAUCGGGAGGAACACCUAUGGCGAAGGCGGGUCUCUGGGCAGUAACUGACGCUGAGGAGCGAAAGCGUGGGGAGCGAACAGG
rnacentral:rRNA from 1 species